CUCAGAGCAGAAGAGACUACCCGCUGAAUUUAAGCAUAUCAUACACCCCGGAAGAGACAAACCAACCCGCG
rnacentral:rRNA from 1 species